ACGGGUGAGUAACACGUGAGUAACCUGCCCUUGACUCUGGGAUAAGCCUGGGAAACUGGGUCUAAUACCGGAUACGACCAUUCCACGCACGUGGUGGUGGUGGAAAGCUUUUGUGGUUUUGGAUGGACUCGCGGCCUAUCACCUUGUUGGUGGGGUAAUGGCCUACCAAGGCGACUACGGGUAGCCGGCCUGAGAGGGUGACCGGCCACACUGGGACUGAGACACGGCCCAGACUCCUACGGGAGGCACCAGUGGGGAAUAUUGCACAAUGGGCGCAAGCCUGAUGCAGCGACACCCCGUGAGGGAUGACGGCCUUCGGGUUGUAAACCUCUUUCAGUAGGGAAGAAGCGAAAGUGACGGUACCUGCAGAACAAGCGCCGGCUAACUACGUGCCAGCAGCCGCGGUAAUACGUAGGGCGCAAGCGUUAUCCGGAAUUAUUGGGCGUACAGAGCUCGUAGGCGGUUUGUCGCGUCUGUGUGAAAACAUACGUAGCUCCAACUCCGGUUCUGCAGUGGGUACGGGCAGACUAGAGUGCAGUACGGGAGACUGGAAUUCCUGGUGUAGCGGUGAAAUGCGCAGA
rnacentral:rRNA from 1 species